rnacentral:snRNA from 1 species
GUGCUUGCUUGGACGGCACAUAUACUAAAAUUGGAAAGAUACAGAGAAGAUUAGCAUAGCCCCUGAGCAAGGAUGACACACAAAUUCGUGAAGCAUUCCAUAUUUUA